GGUGCCUAGGAAAAAAAAUCUUCUAGCCGCCUUCUCAGUUGCUACAUUGACAUUCUGGGCUGGCGGUUGACAGAUCAGUGCCUGAAGUGUUGCUCUCGCUGUAGGGUUAGCUGUAUAAUUGACAAACCGUAGGGACCAGAUCUCUGGAUUAGGUUGACCAGGCUGUCAAAACAACCAUGACAAACUCUCAAAUCAACUUCCACUGCAAAUCAGACCUGUGAGGGAAAUAUGUACCCUGGCAGGCUAGGAGUGCAUGGACUGUGUUCUCUGCCUUGGCCGCACCUGACUUUUUGUCAUUGAGUUUACCAUGAGGAUUCAG
rnacentral:lncRNA from 1 species